rnacentral:rRNA from 1 species
CCCUUAGAUGUUCUGGGCCGCACGCGUGCUACACUGAGUGGAUCAGCGGGUCAGGUUGCGCGAAAGCGUUUCCUAAUCUUUAAAUCCGCUCGUGAUGGGGAUUGACGGUUGCAAUUUUCUGCCAUGAACGAGGAAUACCUUGUAAGCGCGGGUCAUCAUCCCGCGCUGAGUACGUCCCUGCCCUUUGUACACACCGCCCGUCGCUCCUACCGAUUGAGUGGUCCGGUGAGGCUUUGGGAUCUGAGCGGAAAGAGCGUUUCGCUGUUUCUGCUCGGAAAACUCAGUCGAACCUUAUCAUUUAGAGGAAGGAGAAGUCGUAACA